UGUAAAGUACUAGCGUUUGGACUUCGGACUCCAUAGACGGUGUGGAAGGUCCGUCCCUGUUCUAUCAAUCUCUCUUUUCGUCGCCGAUUAUGGAUGCUACUUCUCCAUUCAAGAUAAUCUUGGGAUCAUCUUCAAUAGCCCGUAGGAAAAUAUUAGCUGAAAUGGGAUAUGAAUUCACAAUUAUGACUGCAGACAUUGAUGAAAAGUGCAUUCGGAAAGAAAAGCCAGAAGAGUUGGUAAUGGCUCUUGCUGAGGCAAAGGCUGAUGCCAUCACAGCAAAGCUUCAAACUAUUGAUAAUCAAGUGAAGGAUGCCAAACAAACAAUUUUGGUUGCAGCUGAUACAGCAGAAGCCAUCAUUCCGAAGCUGCCCCUUGGUGAUAAGAUAAAGGAUGCUGAGCCAGUGCUUUUAAUCACUUGUGAUCAAGUGGUGGUGUAUGGAGGUAUGAUCAGGGAAAAACCAUCGAGCAAGGAAGAAGCACGACAAUUCAUUAAAGGUUAUUCUGGUGGGCAUGCAGCAACAGUGAGCUCUGUUCUCAUUACAAACCUUGAGGCAGGAUUCAGAAAAGGAGACUGGGACAAAGUGGAGAUUUACUUUCAUGACAUUCCAGAUGAAAUCAUUGAUAAGCUGAUUGAGGAAGGGGCUGUGCUCAAUGUUGCAGGGGGACUAAUCAUAGAACAUCCUCUGAUAUUACCCUAUGUUAAAGAAGUGGUGGGAACGACUGACAGUGUGAUGGGACUCCCUAAAGCUCUCACAGAGAGACUCCUGAAGGAAGCCCUCUAGCUGACGGGCCAUAUCUUCAAUUUAGCUUGGAACUCUUGCCACCAUUUGAUGCUGAUUUCCUCCUGUUGUAAACCUCCUCUAUGUGAUCUUGCACCGUCGAUCCCUAUAACCAGCUAAACUGUAUUCACAUAUUUCAUUCUUUGGCUUCUCCAGAACUGCUGCAUUUCUCGAGGAAUAAUGCAAGAGCUUAUUGUUUAUUGCCAAUUUUAAUUUUGCGCUGACAUUCUGCGGUUCAUGAAAUUGCAGAGCUCAUCUAGAGCAGUCAAAGGGAGACAACAGGAAUUACAAGGAUCCAUCACCCAUUUGACAGGGUUUCCGUGUACUCGUUAAGGACCUUAUUGCUUUUAUUUUUGUUUUUAAUUAUUAAUGUUUUAAAAUGGAUUAAUUAGUAGAUUUCUUUUAAUCCAUUUGAAUUCAAUUUUAAAUUAGUAGAAUAUGUUAUCUUA